rnacentral:rRNA from 1 species
ACCCGCUGAAUUUAAGCAUAUCAAUAAGCGGAGGAAAAGAAACCAACAGGGAUUGCCUUAGUAACGGCGAGUGAAGCGGCAAAAGCUCAAAUUUGAAAUCGGCCACCAGGUCGAGUUGUAAUUUGUAGAUUGUAUCUUGAGAGCGGAUUAAAGUCUGUUGGAACACAGCGCCUUAGAGGGUGACAGCCCCGUAAAAUCUAUUCUCAUUGUAAGAUACUUUCGAAGAGUCGAGUUGUUUGGGAAUGCAGCUCUAAGUGGGAGGUAAAUUCCUUCUAAAGCUAAAUAUUGACGAGAGACCGAUAGCGAACAAGUACUGUGAAGGAAAGAUGAAAAGCACUUUGAAAAGAGAGUGAAAAAGUACGUGAAAUUGUUAAAAGGGAAGGGUAUUGAAUCAGACUUGGUGCUGUUGUUCAACUGUGUUUCGGCAUAGUGUACUCAGCAGUACUAGGCCAAGGUGGGGUGUUUGGGAGUGAAAAAGAAGUUGGAACGUAACUCUUCGGAGUGUUAUAGCCUACUUUCAUAGCUCCUCAGGCGCCUCAGGACUGCGCUUCGGCAAGGACCUUGGCAUAAUGAUUCUAUACCGCCCGUCUUGAAACACGGACCAAGGAG